rnacentral:rRNA from 1 species
UGACGACCGGCGCACGGGUGCGUAACGCGUAUGCAAUCUACCUUUUACAGGGGGAUAGCCCAGAGAAAUUUGGAUUAAUACCUCAUAGUAUAUGGCCUUGGCAUCAAGGCCAUAUUAAAGAUUUAUCGGUAAAAGAUGAGCAUGCGUUCUACUAGCUGGAUGGUAAGGUAACGGCUUACCAUGGCGACGAUAGAUAGGGGCCCUGAGAGGGGGAUCCCCCACACUGGUACUGAGACACGGACCAGACUCCUACGGGAGGCAGCAGUGAGGAAUAUUGGACAAUGGGCGGGAGCCUGAUCCAGCCAUGCCGCGUGCAGGAAGACUGCCCUAUGGGUUGUAAACUGCUUUUGUACAGGAAGAAACACUCCCUCGUGAGGGAGCUUGACGGUACUGUAAGAAUAAGGAUCGGCUAACUCCGUGCCAGCAGCCGCGGUAAUACGGAGGAUCCGAGCGUUAUCCGGAAUCAUUGGGUUUAAAGGGUCCGUAGGCGGGCCAUUAAGUCAGGGGUGAAAGUCUGCGGCUCAACCGUAGAAUUGCCCUUGAUACUGGUGGUCUUGAGUUAUGGUGAAGUAACUAGAAUAUGUAGUGUAGCGGUGAAAUGCAUAGAUAUUACAUAGAAUACCGAUUGCG